CCUACGGGAGGCAGCAGUGAGGAAUAUUGGUCAAUGGACGAGAGUCUGAACCAGCCAAGUAGCGUGAAGGAUGACUGCCCUAUGGGUUGUAAACUUCUUUUAUAAAGGAAUAAAACGAGGCACGUGUGCCUUUUUGCAUGUACUUUAUGAAUAAGGAUCGGCUAACUCCGUGCCAGCAGCCGCGGUAAUACGGAGGAUCCGAGCGUUAUCCGGAUUUAUUGGGUUGAAAGGGAGCGUAGAUGGGUUGUUAAGUCAGUUGUGAAAGUUUGCGGCUCAACCGUAAAAUUGCAAUUGAUACUGGCAGUCGUGAGUACAGUUGAGGUAGGCGGAAUUCGUGGUGUAGCGGUGAAAUGCUUAGAUAUCACGAAGAACCCCGAUUGCGAAGGCAGCUUACUAAACUGUGACUGACAUUGAUGCUCGAAAGUGUGGGUAUCAAACAGGAUUAGAUACCCGAGUAGUC
rnacentral:rRNA from 1 species